UACGUAGGGGGCAAGCGUUGUCCGGAAUCAUUGGGCGUAAAGCGCGCGUAGGCGGCUCGAUCAGUCUGCUGUAAAAGUCAAAGGCUCAACCUUUGAAUGCCGGUGGAUACUGUCGGGCUAGAGUCCGGAAGAGGCGAGUGGAAUUCCUGGUGUAGCGGUGGAAUGCGCGGAUAUCAGGAGGAACACCAACGGCGAAGGCAGCUCGCUGGGACGGUACUGACGCUAAGGCGCGAAAGCGUGGGGAGCGAACAGG
rnacentral:rRNA from 1 species